rnacentral:rRNA from 1 species
GACAGAGGGUGCAAACGUUGUUCGGAAUUACUGGGCGUAAAGCGCGUGUAGGCAGCCGGGCAUGUCGGAUGUGAAAUCCCGUGGCUCAACCACGGAAGUGCACCCGAAACUGCCCAGCUUGAGUCUCGGAGAGGAAGGCGGAAUGCUUGGUGUAGAGGUGAAAUUCGUAGAUAUCAAGCGGAACACCGGUGGCGAAGGCGGCCUUCUGGACGAUGACUGACGCUGAGACGCGAAAGCGUGGGGAGCAAACAGG